AUUUAUGAUUCAUGUACAACAAUAAUUUUGCGCAUCAUCAUACAGUUGGACACUGCCCUAGAAUUAGGUUACUUUAUUAUUCUUAUAGUAAGAGAAAAAGGCACCAUUUACACAAAAACGGUUAAUUAUGAGCGAUUAGCGUACUAUAUAUACUUCCCCAUAAUAAAUAAAACCCAUUUUUAAAAUAUUACAUCAAUGAAAGGUUUGCAUCACACUAUAUUCCAGUUCAUUAAAGGCAGAAAGCCAAAAGAUUUCCAAAUAUAAACAUUACUAACUGUGACAUAUAUGCAUUAUUUAAGUAGUUCAUUUGUGCAUUUUUUAUUGUAACUGCUAUUGUUGUCAUAUUCGACAUUUAAGAAACAAUAAGAUAACGUUAUUGUUAUUGUUUUAAUUAAAAAAAAAUGUUAUUUGGUUUGUUAUUAAUAACGCAGUAAGUGGAUAUUACUGGAAAUGUCAUAGUAGUAUGAGUAUUGACGAAACAAUUGUUUCCUCCAUUAUCUGAAGGUUUACUUUAGGGCUUAUACCACUUGAGUUAUAUAGUUUAAGAACUUCUUCAUGCCAAAGAGAAACAAUUUGACAAUAUAGGACUGUUAAUGAUUAAUCAGUUUAGAUAAUGUUAUCUUAUGUUAAUAUUUUUAAAAUUAAAUGAUGUUGAAAUUACAUUUUCUCAUUUCAAAUACAUAUAUGUACUUUUCUCGUGAUUGUAGAUAACAUACUGUUCCAGCUGAGUGAUUGCUUUCAUAAAAACGCGUAAAAAACGAGUCAAUCCAAGAAAGAAAAUUAUCAUGUUUCUUGAAAUGAAUGGAAUUAACCUAAUUUUAAAGAUUAUGACAUAUUACAAGAAAUUUUUCAAGUCUGUCGGAAUUUUGUUCAGUAGCAUCAUUUUUUCAUAAUUUCAAAUUUUGUUGAACUUAUUGAAAACGAAAAUGCUAUCGUCAUACCAAAGUGUUUGUUUUACACUUGUUAUUUCUUCAAAAAUUGUAUGCGUCGCGGAAAAAACCAUGUAAGAGGGUAAUCAAAAACCACUUGAACUUUUAUUUUCAGAACCAUGAAUUCAUGCAUUCAUACUUCUUGAAACUUGCAAAAUGCCAACUGUUAUCUUUGAAAAUUUAUAGAUAAAUGAUUUAGUAGAAAAAUAUUCAACAUUGUAUGAUAUUGGGUGACUCAUAUUGGUAUUUCCACCCAGUGUCUUUGAACUGCCUUAACGAAUAAUAUUUGUGACACCAAAUUAAACAAUUAAAAUCUAUGAAUGUGGAGGUUUUGUAGACCGCGGAAUAUUUUGCUUACGUGGUGUUUGAUUUCAUAUUUGUAUUACAAUUAUUAUAAAGUUAAAAAAGUAUCAGAAAUUUUGUAAACAGAAAAACUUUAUCAAACAGACUUUAUAAUAUCUAUACCACUGUGUUUGGAAAGAAAAAUUGAUAGUCACGUCCGGAGAAACUUGAGUCAUAAUUUAUUCUUUGUCCCAAAGUAAGCAUCUUUAAUAUCAUUCUGAAUCAUCCGGUAUAUUGUACAUUGAUAUCUACCUGAAGUAGAUUAAUCAGUCUUAACGAGGUCGUUAUUUUUAGUGAACAUUAAUAUUUAUUGUUGUUUGAGAUAACGACAUGUACUUAGUACAGUCAAAAAACGACCUUUAAACUGGACCAUAAUAAGAGUAAUUUACGCCAAACCUGUUUCUUUGUUCAAGAUUAAUUUAUUGCAGAUCAUUAAGUUUAGGUAAAAUUUCGAAAGUGAAUUUUAAAAAAGUGUACAUCAUUUGAUAUCUAGAAAACAAACAAUACAUAACCAAAAAUUUAAACAGUUGCGUACGUAGCUACUGGGUUCAACGUAAGUAGUUACUCGCAACAGUAAAAAUUUGUAUAUUUCUGCUACCAACCAUUGUUCUUAUUUACAUAACAUCCUCAUUUAAGUAUCAAGUUAAAAACUUUGCUCUCAUGUAAUUUUCUUUCAUAUUUUCGCAUCAUUAUGUCGAAAUCUUUAACAUGAACAUUUUGUUUGGUACGAAAAUUAAUGAUCAAUUAACGGGUUAUUUGCGAUAA